ACUAAGCGUACACGGUGGAUGCCCUGGCAGUCAGAGGCGAUGAAGGACGUGCUAAUCUGCGAUAAGCGUCGGUAAGGUGAUAUGAACCGUUAUAACCGGCGAUUUCCGAAUGGGGAAACCCAGUGUGAUUCGUCACACUAUCAUUAACUGAAUCCAUAGGUUAAUGAGGCGAACCGGGGGAACUGAAACAUCUAAGUACCCCGAGGAAAAGAAAUCAACCGAGAUUCCCCCAGUAGCGGCGAGCGAACGGGGAGCAGCCCAGAGCCUGAAUCAGUAUGUGUGUUAGUGGAAGCGUCUGGAAAGGCGCGCGAUACAGGGUGACAGCCCCGUACACAAAAAUGCACAUGCUGUGAGCUCGAUGAGUAGGGCGGGACACGUGGUAUCCUGUCUGAAUAUGGGGGGACCAUCCUCCAAGGCUAAAUACUCCUGACUGACCGAUAGUGAACCAGUACCGUGAGGGAAAGGCGAAAAGAACCCCGGCGAGGGGAGUGAAAAAGAACCUGAAACCGUGUACGUACAAGCAGUGGGAGCACGCUUAGGCGUGUGACUGCGUACCUUUUGUAUAAUGGGUCAGCGACUUAUAUUCUGUAGCAAGGUUAACCGAAUAGGGGAGCCGAAGGGAAACCGAGUCUUAACUGGGCGUUAAGUUGCAGGGUAUAGACCCGAAACCCGGUGAUCUAGCCAUGGGCAGGUUGAAGGUUGGGUAACACUAACUGGAGGACCGAACCGACUAAUGUUGAAAAAUUAGCGGAUGACUUGUGGCUGGGGGUGAAAGGCCAAUCAAACCGGGAGAUAGCUGGUUCUCCCCGAAAGCUAUUUAGGUAGCGCCUCGUGAAUUCAUCUCCGGGGGUAGAGCACUGUUUCGGCAAGGGGGUCAUCCCGACUUACCAACCCGAUGCAAACUGCGAAUACCGGAGAAUGUUAUCACGGGAGACACACGGCGGGUGCUAACGUCCGUCGUGAAGAGGGAAACAACCCAGACCGCCAGCUAAGGUCCCAAAGUCAUGGUUAAGUGGGAAACGAUGUGGGAAGGCCCAGACAGCCAGGAUGUUGGCUUAGAAGCAGCCAUCAUUUAAAGAAAGCGUAAUAGCUCACUGGUCGAGUCGGCCUGCGCGGAAGAUGUAACGGGGCUAAACCAUGCACCGAAGCUGCGGCAGCGACGCUGAUGCGUUGUUGGGUAGGGGAGCGUUCUGUAAGCCUGCGAAGGUGUGCUGUGAGGCAUGCUGGAGGUAUCAGAAGUGCGAAUGCUGACAUAAGUAACGAUAAAGCGGGUGAAAAGCCCGCUCGCCGGAAGACCAAGGGUUCCUGUCCAACGUUAAUCGGGGCAGGGUGAGUCGACCCCUAAGGCGAGGCCGAAAGGCGUAGUCGAUGGGAAACAGGUUAAUAUUCCUGUACUUGGUGUUACUGCGAAGGGGGGACGGAGAAGGCUAUGUUGGCCGGGCGACGGUUGUCCCGGUUUAAGCGUGUAGGCUGGUUUUCCAGGCAAAUCCGGAAAAUCAAGGCUGAGGCGUGAUGACGAGGCACUACGGUGCUGAAGCAACAAAUGCCCUGCUUCCAGGAAAAGCCUCUAAGCAUCAGGUAACAUCAAAUCGUACCCCAAACCGACACAGGUGGUCAGGUAGAGAAUACCAAGGCGCUUGAGAGAACUCGGGUGAAGGAACUAGGCAAAAUGGUGCCGUAACUUCGGGAGAAGGCACGCUGAUAUGUAGGUGAAGUCCCUCGCGGAUGGAGCUGAAAUCAGUCGAAGAUACCAGCUGGCUGCAACUGUUUAUUAAAAACACAGCACUGUGCAAACACGAAAGUGGACGUAUACGGUGUGACGCCUGCCCGGUGCCGGAAGGUUAAUUGAUGGGGUUAGCGCAAGCGAAGCUCUUGAUCGAAGCCCCGGUAAACGGCGGCCGUAACUAUAACGGUCCUAAGGUAGCGAAAUUCCUUGUCGGGUAAGUUCCGACCUGCACGAAUGGCGUAAUGAUGGCCAGGCUGUCUCCACCCGAGACUCAGUGAAAUUGAACUCGCUGUGAAGAUGCAGUGUACCCGCGGCAAGACGGAAAGACCCCGUGAACCUUUACUAUAGCUUGACACUGAACAUUGAGCCUUGAUGUGUAGGAUAGGUGGGAGGCUUUGAAGUGUGGACGCCAGUCUGCAUGGAGCCGACCUUGAAAUACCACCCUUUAAUGUUUGAUGUUCUAACGUUGACCCGUAAUCCGGGUUGCGGACAGUGUCUGGUGGGUAGUUUGACUGGGGCGGUCUCCUCCUAAAGAGUAACGGAGGAGCACGAAGGUUGGCUAAUCCUGGUCGGACAUCAGGAGGUUAGUGCAAUGGCAUAAGCCAGCUUGACUGCGAGCGUGACGGCGCGAGCAGGUGCGAAAGCAGGUCAUAGUGAUCCGGUGGUUCUGAAUGGAAGGGCCAUCGCUCAACGGAUAAAAGGUACUCCGGGGAUAACAGGCUGAUACCGCCCAAGAGUUCAUAUCGACGGCGGUGUUUGGCACCUCGAUGUCGGCUCAUCACAUCCUGGGGCUGAAGUAGGUCCCAAGGGUAUGGCUGUUCGCCAUUUAAAGUGGUACGCGAGCUGGGUUUAGAACGUCGUGAGACAGUUCGGUCCCUAUCUGCCGUGGGCGCUGGAGAACUGAGGGGGGCUGCUCCUAGUACGAGAGGACCGGAGUGGACGCAUCACUGGUGUUCGGGUUGUCAUGCCAAUGGCACUGCCCGGUAGCUAAAUGCGGAAGAGAUAAGUGCUGAAAGCAUCUAAGCACGAAACUUGCCCCGAGAUGAGUUCUCCCUGACUCCUUGAGAGUCCUGAAGGAACGUUGAAGACGACGACGUUGAUAGGCCGGGUGUGUAAGCGCAGCGAUGCGUUGAGCUAACCGGUACUAAUGAACCGUGAGGCUUAACC
rnacentral:rRNA from 1 species